rnacentral:lncRNA from 1 species
UUAAGUUUGAGAAAAUUAUAAAAUAUUUAUGCAUAGUUUAUCAAGAUACCAUUCACAAUUUCCUAAUAAAAAAAUAGGGGCUAAAUUGUAAAAGCUAGGGUGCCAUAAUAGAAAUAAUAAAAUUGGUGUAUUACAUAUGGGGGUUAAAUAGCAAAAGUUAGAGUGCCAUAGUAGAAUUAAUGAAAUUGGUGAAUUACAUAUGGGGCUAAAUUACAAAAGUUAGGGAGUAAUAAUAGAAUUAAAGAAAUCGGUGUACUACAUAUGGGGCUAAAUUGUAAAAGUUAAGGUAUCAUAAUGGAAUUAAUGGAAUUUUUUACAACAUUUGGAGCUAAAUCGCAAAAGUUAGGGUGGCACAGUAGAAUUAAUGAAAGUGACUUAGAAAUAAGUACUUUAAACAGUGACGAUUAAUUCUUGUCACUAAAUCCGAAUCGGUAGAGUGACAGUGACGAUAUUAGAAGUUGUCACUAUAUAGAUCAUUUUAGUGACAACGUUUUUCAAGGUCUCCUUGUCGUCACUAAACAACCACAUUUUGUGACGACUUUUGUCGUCACUAGAAAAUGUUGUCACUAAUGACCAUAUUUCUUGCAGUGUAGUUUGUGACGAAAAUAACGGGUCGUCACUAAACAUUUAGUUGCUUUGAAGCAAUUGUGACAACUUUAGGUGUCGCGACUAAAGAAGCUCCUUUUGUGACGACUUAUUGUCAUCACUACAAAAUAUUGUCACUAAUAACUUUUUUUUUAGUGAUCAGUGACGACAACAAAAAGUCGUCCGUAAAUAGGCCAAGCAAUAGUGAUGAUGUUCUUAAUGUCGUCACUAUUGUGUGUUCUAAACACUCCCGCACUGUUGCUAAAUCUUGGCGGGAAUUUACUAGUGACGACUUAGAAAAGUCGUCACAAAUGAGUUGGCUCCCAUUAGAGGUUUGUGACGAGUUAGAAAGUCGUCAAUAAAGGAUCCACUUUUGUGACAACUUUUUUUCGUCACAGAGAAAAGUUGUCACUGAUGACCAAUUUUCUUGUAGUGGGUGAAGGGAUGCUGUUUUGAACAUUUGUUUAUUCUGAAUCUGUGAGAAAUGGUGAUUUGGUGAUGGUUUGCUCCUAUUAGUAUGGACUUACGAUGAGAUAGUUAGACUUAUAGUUUAUUCCCAAUCAUUAAUUAUCAAAAUAUGACUUUUUUCUUUCUUAACUGAAGGACGUAAAGAUUCCAAAUCAACAUGACUAGGUAUUGUAUGACCAUGGAUCAAUUAUGGUUCAAAAUACACAAGUGAGGCUGGUUUAGAUAAUAGAAUCUUUCCACGAACCAAUUACUAUAUUCACGAUAUGUUGCUAAUUCUCCCCCCCCC